rnacentral:rRNA from 1 species
GGUUAAGCGACUAAGCGUACACGGUGGAUGCCCUGGCAGUCAGAGGCGAUGAAGGGCGUGCUAAUCUGCGAUAAGCGCCGGUAAGGUGAUAUGAACCGUUAUAACCGGCGAUACCCGAAUGGGGAAACCCAGUGUGAUUCGUCACACUAUCAUUAACUGAAUCCAUAGGUUAAUGAGGCGAACCGGGGGAACUGAAACAUCUAAGUACCCCGAGGAAAAGAAAUCAACCGAGAUUCCCCCAGUAGCGGCGAGCGAACGGGGAGGAGCCCAGAGCCUGAAUCAGCAUGUGUGUUAGUGGAAGCGUCUGGAAAGGCGCGCGAUACAGGGUGACAGCCCCGUACACAAAAGCGCAUGUGCUGUGAGCUCGAUGAGUAGGGCGGGACACGUGGUAUCCUGUCUGAAUAUGGGGGGACCAUCCUCCAAGGCUAAAUACUCCUGACUGACCGAUAGUGAACCAGUACCGUGAGGGAAAGGCGAAAAGAACCCCGGCGAGGGGAGUGAAAAAGAACCUGAAACCGUGUACGUACAAGCAGUGGGAGCACCCUUCGGGGUGUGACUGCGUACCUUUUGUAUAAUGGGUCAGCGACUUAUAUUCUGUAGCAAGGUUAACCGUAUAGGGGAGCCGGAGGGAAACCGAGUCUUAAUUGGGCGUUAAGUUGCAGGGUAUAGACCCGAAACCCGGUGAUCUAGCCAUGGGCAGGUUGAAGGUUGGGUAACACUAACUGGAGGACCGAACCGACUAAUGUUGAAAAAUUAGCGGAUGACCUGUGGCUGGGGGUGAAAGGCCAAUCAAACCGGGAGAUAGCUGGUUCUCCCCGAAAGCUAUUUAGGUAGCGCCUCGUGAAUUCAUCUCCGGGGGUAGAGCACUGUUUCGGCUAGGGGGCCAUCCCGGCUUACCAACCCGAUGCAAACUGCGAAUACCGGAGAAUGUUAUCACGGGAGACACACGGCGGGUGCUAACGUCCGUCGUGAAGAGGGAAACAACCCAGACCGCCAGCUAAGGUCCCAAAGUCAUGGUUAAGUGGGAAACGAUGUGGGAAGGCCCAGACAGCCAGGAUGUUGGCUUAGAAGCAGCCAUCAUUUAAAGAAAGCGUAAUAGCUCACUGGUCGAGUCGGCCUGCGCGGAAGAUGUAACGGGGCUAAACCAUGCACCGAAGCUGCGGCAGCGAACGUAUCACCCAAGACAACUUUACGGAGUUGACGAUUGACGGAGCGAAGCGACGUCAAAGCGUUCAUUAAAGUCGAGUUGGCUUAGGGAUACGUUCGUUGGGUAGGGGAGCGUUCUGUAAGCCUGUGAAGGUGUGUCGUGAGGCAUGCUGGAGGUAUCAGAAGUGCGAAUGCUGACAUAAGUAACGAUAAAGCGGGUGAAAAGCCCGCUCGCCGGAAGACCAAGGGUUCCUGUCCAACGUUAAUCGGGGCAGGGUGAGUCGACCCCUAAGGCGAGGCCGAAAGGCGUAGUCGAUGGGAAACGGGUUAAUAUUCCCGUACUUGGUGUUACUGCGAAGGGGGGACGGAGAAGGCUAUGUUGGCCGGGCGACGGUUGUCCCGGUUUAAGCGUGUAGGUGUGUGUUCCAGGUAAAUCCGGUUCACUUUAACACUGAGGCGUGACGACGAGGCACUACGGUGCUGAAGCAACAAAUGCCCUGCUUCCAGGAAAAGCCUCUAAGCAUCAGGUAACACGAAAUCGUACCCCAAACCGACACAGGUGGUCAGGUAGAGAAUACCAAGGCGCUUGAGAGAACUCGGGUGAAGGAACUAGGCAAAAUGGUGCCGUAACUUCGGGAGAAGGCACGCUGACACGUAGGUGAAGUGAUUUACUCAUGGAGCUGAAGUCAGUCGAAGAUACCAGCUGGCUGCAACUGUUUAUUAAAAACACAGCACUGUGCAAACACGAAAGUGGACGUAUACGGUGUGACGCCUGCCCGGUGCCGGAAGGUUAAUUGAUGGGGUCAGCGUAAGCGAAGCUCCUGAUCGAAGCCCCGGUAAACGGCGGCCGUAACUAUAACGGUCCUAAGGUAGCGAAAUUCCUUGUCGGGUAAGUUCCGACCUGCACGAAUGGCGUAAUGAUGGCCAGGCUGUCUCCACCCGAGACUCAGUGAAAUUGAACUCGCUGUGAAGAUGCAGUGUACCCGCGGCAAGACGGAAAGACCCCGUGAACCUUUACUAUAGCUUGACACUGAACAUUGAGCCUUGAUGUGUAGGAUAGGUGGGAGGCUUUGAAGUGUGGACGCCAGUCUGCAUGGAGCCGACCUUGAAAUACCACCCUUUAAUGUUUGAUGUUCUAACGUGGACCCGUAAUCCGGGUUGCGGACAGUGUCUGGUGGGUAGUUUGACUGGGGCGGUCUCCUCCUAAAGAGUAACGGAGGAGCACGAAGGUUGGCUAAUCCUGGUCGGACAUCAGGAGGUUAGUGCAAUGGCAUAAGCCAGCUUGACUGCGAGCGUGACGGCGCGAGCAGGUGCGAAAGCAGGUCAUAGUGAUCCGGUGGUUCUGAAUGGAAGGGCCAUCGCUCAACGGAUAAAAGGUACUCCGGGGAUAACAGGCUGAUACCGCCCAAGAGUUCAUAUCGACGGCGGUGUUUGGCACCUCGAUGUCGGCUCAUCACAUCCUGGGGCUGAAGUAGGUCCCAAGGGUAUGGCUGUUCGCCAUUUAAAGUGGUACGCGAGCUGGGUUUAGAACGUCGUGAGACAGUUCGGUCCCUAUCUGCCGUGGGCGCUGGAGAACUGAGGGGGGCUGCUCCUAGUACGAGAGGACCGGAGUGGACGCAUCACUGGUGUUCGGGUUGUCAUGCCAAUGGCACUGCCCGGUAGCUAAAUGCGGAAGAGAUAAGUGCUGAAAGCAUCUAAGCACGAAACUUGCCCCGAGAUGAGUUCUCCCUGAGACUUAGAGUCUCCUGAAGGAACGUUGAAGACGACGACGUUGAUAGGCCGGGUGUGUAAGCGCAGCGAUGCGUUGAGCUAACCGGUACUAAUGAACCGUGAGGCUUAACCUUACAACGCCGAAGAUGUUUUG